rnacentral:pre_miRNA from 1 species
AUUGUACUUCCUCCGUUCCGAAUUACUUGUCUUGAAUUUGUCUAGAUACGGAUGUAUCUAGACUCAUUUUAGUGCUAGAUACAUCUGUUUCUAGACAAAUUCAAGACAAGUAAUUCGGAACGGAGGGAGUACAAA